rnacentral:misc_RNA from 1 species
UAAUCCUAGAUAGAAUAGGAAAACUAAAAUAAGUCGCAUUUGGAAUAGGAAACACCUAAAACUACCCCUGUAUCUUUAACUAAACAAAAUAGGAAGUUAGAAUGAGUGUGGGAAGGCUGGACAUGCAAUUUGGCCUGGAAAAUGAAGAUCUCACAAGCUGGUCCAGAGGAAUACAUGCCCUGGGCGUACACGCCCAGGGUUAGUACUUUACUGCCUUCUGUUAUCUGGUCCCAAAGAGCCCAAAAUAGAUGCAAUUCAAAUAAAUGGAAAAUUAAAAAACUAAACUUGUAUAAAUUAACUGAAUUUAUAUAAGGUGGUUAUUUGUGGUAACCAACAAAUUUCUCAACUCAAAAAAUUCAAAAUAUAAUGAUAAUAAGCAUGACACGGUAAUACCUCUUUAAAGAUGGGAGGUUGCC